CGCCCGUCAAGUGCGGGGACAGAAGAGAGUGGAGGCCUGGAAAGGUUCUUCUUUCUAACUAAUCUGCCCUCUUGAAUUGGUGGUGUCUAAGGCCAUUCAUGUUGUGAUGGUCCAGCUGGUCUGGAAGAAAGCCUAGAACCCCUUGUGACCUGAACGCACCCACUUCCCAGACCACUCCCCUUCUGAGUCCUUGCCACAAUGACGAUGGAGAGACCACCCAACAGAUCUCCAGGCGAUGAAAAGUGGACACUGUACAAUAAUGUGGAAUGGAAGAGAUCGUGGGGCAAGCAAAAUAAAC